rnacentral:rRNA from 1 species
AGCUCCAAUAGCGUAUAUUAAAGUUGUUGCAGUUAAAAAGCUCGUAGUUGAAUUUCUGUCAGGAGUGACCGGGCCUUUGGAUGAACUUCCAUUGUUUUUUGCUCUGUUUGUCAUCUCUAGACAUCCUGGAAUAUUUUUUUUUAAAUGUUCCUCUUUUACUGUUAGCAAAAUAGAGUGUUCCAAGCAAAGCGUAGUUUUGAAUACAUUAGAAUGGAAUAAUAAGAUAGGACUUUGGUGCUAUUUUGUUGGUUUGCACACCAAGGUAAUGAUUAAUAGGGACAGUUGGGGGUAUUCGUAUUUAAUUGUCAGAGGUGAAAUUCUUGGAUUUAUGAAAGACGAACUACUGCGAAAGCAUUUACCAAGGAUGUUUUCA